AAAGGUUAGAUUGGUAUUGCAAUGAAAGAAGUGGUAAUGAUAGAGAGAGACAGGGAACAAGCAGAGCAUGGAUUGAGUUUACUAAAACAUUAAACGACUCUGUUUUGUCUCUACCCAUGCACUGCCUCUUCCCUGGCUCCCUCUUUUCUCUCUCUCUCUCUCUCUCUCCCUCUCUCUAUUUCUUUCUCUCCUUUCAUUUCAAUGGAUUUUU
rnacentral:pre_miRNA from 1 species